GAUGAACGCUGGCGGCGUGCCUAAUACAUGCAAGUCGAGCGAACGGACGAGAAGCUUGCUUUUCUGAUUUUAGCGGCGGACGGGUGAGUAACACGUGGAUAACCUACCUAUAAGACUGGGAUAACUUCGGGAAACCGUAGCUAAUACCGGAUAAUAUUUUGAACCGCAUGGUUCAAAAGUUAAAGACGGUCUUGCUGUCACUUAUAGAUUGAUCCGCGCUGCAUUAGCUAGUUGGUAAGGUAACGGCUUACCAAGGCAACGAUGCAUAGCCGACCUGAGAGGGUGAUCGGCCACACUGGAACUGAGACACGGUACAGACUCCUACGGGAGGCAGCAGUAGGGAAUCUUACGCAAUGGGCGAAAGCCUGACGGAGCAACGCCGCGUGAGUGAUGAAGGUCUUCGGAUCGUAAAACUCUGUUAUUAGGGAAGAACAUAUGUGUAAGUAACUGUGCACAUCUUGACGGUACCUAAUCAGAAAGCCACGGCUAACUACGUG
rnacentral:rRNA from 1 species